rnacentral:pre_miRNA from 1 species
UUGGUACUCCCUCCGUCCCAAAAUUCUUGUCUUAGAUUUGUCUACAUACGGAUGUAUCAAGUCAUGUUUUAGUAUUAGAUUCAUCCGUAUCUACAUAAAUCUAAGACAAGAAUUUUGGGACGGAGGGAGUACAAC